GCUAACACCGGAGGGAAGGACAAGAUCUAAAAGAAUACUGAAAAGCUGGGGCACUGAGAUGAAUUUAAUAAGAAGACAUUCCAUAGGCAGAGAUGUAAUCCUGUAAUUUGGACCCAUGAAUGUUGCUCUUGUGUGUCAGGUCUCCAAAUUUGUAAUAGAUUUUGUCCUUUGGUCCCCAUUUUGGUGUGAGGGUAUAAGAUGGACAUACUCCAUAACAAACAAAAAUCCAGACUCUUCCAUUCAGGAUUGAAUCUUCCCUUCUCAUAAUGAAAAACAAGUAUGAACAUUACAUAUAGCAAUCAUAUUUGAUAAUAUGUACAAUAUCUUCCCAAGCAGUCCCAUGCUUCUCUGCUAUCAGCAAUAGGACAAGGCAGAGGACAAAGAAAAAGGAGAAUCCAUUACACCUCUAGGAGGAAAUCCAGUAAUAUAGGACAAAAGGAUAUUUGCAUACUUGGGGCAUCUUAAAGAACUCGUCAUCCAAAGAGAAUGACUCCCUCCUUUGAACAAAACAUUUUUCAUGUCAAUGGCAAAUAUUUUUGAUUUUGUAACCUAUAUUUUGGCUGCAGAGAAGCUUCCUUGCCCUUUUCUCCACCAAGAGAACUGAGGAAGAGAUUCUUUUUGAUUAUAGACCAGGAAGUUCAAGGAGUUAUGUCAUGGGCCCCUUUGAUAGUGUGGUAAAGUAUGUAAAUUCUUUCUCUGAAUGGUGUUCUUAAAGGCAUAAAAUACACAGGAUUAGAAAGAAAAUUAGCUAUGUGAAAGUACAAUUAUUAAAAAAAAAUGUUUAAAUUCAUGGACACAUGGGGCACUGGCCCUCAAGUCAGGAGAAUCUGAGUUCAAAUCCAGCCUCAGACACUUGACACUUACUAGCGGUAUGAUUCUGACCAAAUCACUUAAGCACAACUGCCUAGCCAAAGAAAAAGAAUAAGGAGGAAGAAAGGAAGAAGGGAAGGAAGGAGGGAAAGGAGGAGAGAGAGAAGGAAGGAAGGAAGGAAGGAAGGAAGGAAGGAAGGAAGGAAGGAAGGAAGGAAGGAAGGAAGGAAGGGGAGAGGGAGGGAGAAAAGGAGGGAAGGAAGCAGGGAGGGAAAAAGGGAGGAAGGGGAGGGAGGGAGGGAGGGAGAAAGGGAGGAAGGGAAAAGGAGGGAAGGAAGAAGGGAGGGAGGAAAGGAAGGAGAAAGGAAGGAGGGAGGGAAGGAGGGAGAAAGGGAGGGAAGAAGGGAGAAAGGGAAGGAAGGAAGGAAGGAAGGAGAAAGGAAGGAGGGAGAAAAAGGGGGAGCAUGGGGUGGGGGAAGAGAAAGGAAGAAGAAGAAAGGGAAGAUAGGGAGGAGGAAGGAGGAAAAAGAGGAGAAGAAAAGAGGGAGAGGAGGAAGGAAGAGAGGAAGUUGUUUAUGGAUUCCAGAUUAAGAAUACUUGCUCUAAACUAUAGAGGUUAUUACGAUAUAGAAAAUCAAACAAUGUUAAAACAAAGUUAUUCCUCUACAACAGUAAAAAGGUUAGAAAAGGUCUAAUGUUUAAUAACCACCUAGGAUUCAAAAGUUAUAAAUAAAAAAUUAUAAAAUCUGUUUGUUCUUCAAAAUAUAACUAAAUAUAAAAAUUUAAUAUAACAGUCAAGAAUUACUAAUAGAACAAUUUUUUUUUCCCAAUUAAGAUGAGAAAAAGUCAAAUCUAGUUAGAUAAGCAAGAGAAUAUAGUGGAGCUCCUAAAUAAAGUAAAAUGGGAAAUUAAGACAAGAAAAAUAAAAUACCUGCAAAUUUGUCAUGAAAAAAAAAAAUCACAAAAAGAACAAGACAACCAAUUACACUACAACUUUUCUAAAAACUCACUCAAUGUUAUUUUCUACUGCAGUAAAUUCAGUAAUAGGAGACAACUUUGGGCCUCUCUGUCAGAAAAGUAAAAGAUCCUAACAUUAUCUAAAUAAAUCAAUAUUUAUUCAAAAAGUACUUAUUCAAAAGUACUUAUUACAAAUAUUUGUUUCCCACUACAAAGUACUCUCACAGAAUCAACUUCAAAUUAAAGUUAGCAAUAUGAAACUCCAAUCUACUAACAAUACCUAUAAUUUACAGAUGGACUAAAUUAGGCAAAGAAGAAAAAAUAAACUCAAGAUAAGACAAA